GUUACCUGUCUCGAAGCGGGGAAAAGUUGGUUUAAUAAUUCACUUUUAUUACACAUAGCGUAGGUUGAUUAUCCCUUUAAAUACUCAAGGAUCAGACUAGUAUUUCAGUGUCGGUUUUAAUGUUAGUAGGCACUCACUUAAUUUUGGUACGCAGUUAUAACUUACUCUUUGAUUGUUUAACUUGGAAACUUUGAUUAUAAAUAAAUGUUGAACUUACUGUAAAUGCAUAUCCUAGUAAACAAUAAUUAAACUGAAUGACAUUUGAAUAUACACUGUGUUGACUUAUUGUAUUUGAGUUUAUUCAGAUAACCGGUUACAACACAAGCGGCGUUUUGGUGCUCUAGUGACUUCAGGAUUCGUUUUUGCCGACCAGGGGUUUUUCGUGGAUCACAGCGCAGACAUACACUAUCUAACGGUUGACGAUCAAUUGCAGAGGACCCAGACAAGAGGGGCGACAAGAUGAUCUUACUUUUCUGUUUAAUCGUUUGUGCAAGGGCUAUGACAGACUAUGAAAAUGUUAUAUUUUCUAAAGUGAAUGAAAUUUCAAUAACUAAAGCCCAUUGGUCUGCUAUUCUCGUUUAUGAUACAAAACAAUUUUCACAUUAUCUUAAUCAGAUAUCUGGGAAUAUUAUUUCUAUAAAUCAGACAUUACUUAACAUGAAACAACAUUAUACCACCACAACAGAUGAAGAUGACUUUCAACCCUACUUAACAACAAUUUCAGACAUGCAGUUAGAUAUCAAUUCUUUACGUCAUACUUACGAUAAUAUUUUAACAGAAUAUACAGAUUUUCUGACUUUAAGUAAUAUUCAAAAGAGAAGUAUUUUUGGCCUAGGAAAAGCUCUUAGAUUUCUCUUCGGCACAGCUGACGACGGAGACUUACAAAAUGUAAAACGUAAUGUUAAUAAAUUAGCUAAUACACAGAAAAAUAUUAUUCACAUUGUCGAAGAUUCACUUUCUAUCUUAAACGUUUCACAAUCACAUAUUUUACAAAAUCACAAUAAAAUCAAUGAAAUCAUUCAUUCUUUAAAGGCUAUUGAAGCUCAUGUAAAAAGAUGGAAAAUUGCUUUUGAACGCUCUUUAGGUAGAUUCAAAACAUACUCUCUAAAUAAUAAUCACAUUAUGUUGGUAUUAGAUGAUAUUAAAUUCGCUAUUUCACUGGCUAAAUCACACUUUAACGAUUUUAAAGAUAAAGUGGAUAUAUUAAGUUUGGGUUUGGUUAACCCAACAUUAAUAUCACCUUCUUAUUUACUCCAGUUAUUAUCAGAUAUAAAACUCCAUUCUCCUAAAAAUUACGAUUUACCGGCCGAUCCGAGGUCUAAUCUUUUCGAGUUUUAUAAACAUUUAAAAAGCUCAACUAUGUUUUAUAAUGAUCAUUUGCUUAUUCAAAUACAAAUUCCUAUCACAGAAUUAAACGAAAAAUAUGAGGUGUUUCGUGUUUUUAAUAUAGAAACUGCUUACAUGCCUAAUAAUAAUUCGGAUCAAAAGGUUAUUGCUAAAUACAAAUUAGAUUAUGACGGUUUAAUUUACAACAAAGAAAGAACAAAAUUCUCUGUCUUAACAUCGUCUGAACUAGAUGAUUGUCAAAAUAACUUCUUAAAAUAUUGUGAUAUUGCUUCUCCAAUAUAUCAACGUAGUGUUACGAAUAUGUGUAUUUCAGCAUUAUUCCUUAAAGAUGGAAAUGCUAUAAGGGCAAAUUGUAAAAUAAUGAUUAAUACGAAUGCAUUUUUACCUAAGGCGGUUAACAUUUUAGAUGGACGCUGGCUUAUUAGCACCACAAAGGAUUUAAAAUUUGUUUUAGUAUGUCAUCCAGCCCGCACAACCAGACAAGAAAUAGUGGCUAAAGCGCCAAUUUCGGUCUUAAAUUUAGAACAAAACUGUAAAGCCUUCAAUAAUCAUCUGAUCCUUACUCCUUGGUUUCAGAAAAACUCUUCUUCUAGAGUCUUAAAUAAUAAACUGCAUACAUCUUCUCUAUUUUGGUCUAACAUAACUACGAACCAUUUGUGGAAAGAACUGCAUAUUAACUUACAUAACUUUUCGAAUUUUAAGAUCCCAAAUGAACUUAAACCUAUUACCAACAUACCUUUGGACGCAUUAGUAUCUAGACUUAAUUACCUUAAACAUAUUCAAUUAGAACAAACAACAUCAUUUCCUCUUUGGGCUAUUAUUCUGAUCAUUUCUGGGGCUUUCGUUGUAGUUAUUGCCAUAUUGUUAAGUAUAUAUUUUUUUCGGAAACGCAUAUUAAAACAUAAGCAACUGCCGCAAAUCUGUCAUGGCUCACGGUCACAAUUGAACAUGAAAGGCGAGAAUAAAACUCUAUACAAGCUCGUGUCAAACUUGUCGGAGAUGCGUCAGGAGGACAACGAAUUACUCAACAAAGCAGAUGUACCCCAAGACACUAUUUUGUCAGCCUUAUAUCCGAAACUGUCAUAAACUCAGUGCAAAACAAAGUCAUAUAGACAUUAACUUUCUCUUAACAACAGGAAUAAGUAUAUAGUAAAAUGCAUUACAGUGUCAACUAAGUCAACAUAAAUUAUCGAAACGACAUAUCAAGUCUAGACUCAAAUCCAUAAACAACUCAUUUUGGACAAAGCAGCAAAUAAGACUAAGCCUAUAUAUACUGCUCCAUAGUGCCUUUCGACACAGUUAUUCAUCCAUUCGGAUACUUUACAGAUCAAAUUCUUUUGUUCAUCGUGCUCAACUUGUUAAAAUUUUGUUUCAAAAUGGUUUUUAUCAGGCGUUUCAACAUUGGAAUGUUGUUCAGGGCCAUGGUCCUCGAACACUUAGUGAGGAUUGUAUAUAGGGCAGUGUUAGACAUUUUAGAGCCAAAUUGCGAACUGUGCGAAAAUGUAAGUGACUGUAGUCACGAGAUACGGCAAAUUGACGUGAUCACACAUUUCUCAAACAUCUUCGAGACUUCGGUCAACAUUAUGGCAGAAGCUCGUGUAACACACUUGUUCCUGAGACGGGCAGAAUUUCACAUACAGAAUACAGUCACCGGGAGAGGACAGGACGUCUGUUACCAUUGCUUAAGGAUGGAGCUAACCCCUGCCACUCUCGAUGAACUACAGCAGGUUUUUGGUAUUGCGGGAUCGUAUAAUUUUAUAUAUUAUUAUGUUCUUUGUAGUCAAAAUAACAAAAUUAAUUAUCAUAUAAUUCAGUUAUCACUUGUCAUAUUCUCAACAGAAAGUAAUUAAUGAACUUAUGUUAAUUCAACUAGUAUUCUUUGUAAAACGUUGUAUUUUAUACAAGUUGUUAAAAUUGUGUGUUUUAAAAUUUUAUAAUUUCAUUUCUUUGUCUUAAAUAUAUGUUUAACUUUUGUUUUCCUUUCGUUUCGUUUCAGGUAUACGAAUGUAUAACCUCUACGCAUAUCGUUUUCAAAAGAAAAAAAAAAACAAAACAACAACACAGAUGUUCUUGAAACUUGCCGUUGGUUUACAACAUAAAGCAAAAGUGAAAAUUGUGUUUUUUGUUAUAGUUCUGUGUUCAUAGAAAUUUUUUCUAUUCUAAGCAAUUUUUCGGAGGUUCUACAUUCGUGUCAUAGUUUUAUGAAAAAAAAAAGUGACAUAUUUACUAGGACUUGUUUUAAACAGAAAUAUAUUCCUUAUUAACAUGUGUGAUGUUGUGAACAAAAUAUAUAUGAAAAUCUAGGACACUCAUUUUCUCGAAAUACUUAUCAAAUAUCUCAUUAUCUACAUGUGUAAAUGUCUAAUUACCUUGGUUUCUAUUCUGAAUAUGUUAUACUACUAUAUGAAACUAUAAAUAUAUAUAUAAAAUAAGUCAAAUUGUGCUAGUAUACUUUGAAAAUCUAUUAUAAUUAGAAUUGUAAUUGUUAUCAUUACCAUUAUAUCAAAAUAUAAUAAAAUACUAUACAGUUGUUAUAAAUGGAUGAAACAUAAACACCAUUAAAAUCUGUUAGCCUUUAGA